UUCAAUUUCUGAGGACGCCUUCUUAUCAGGAUUCGAUUGAGGCAGAGAUCUCCUCCUGUGUCCCCCACUACAACUUCCUGGAUGUUUUUUUUGAGCUGAUUCUGUUCCGCCAUUUCAGAAGUGGCUCAACGCUUGAGACAUUUAAUGGAGGAUUCUUGGAGCGCCUGCUCGAGCUCGUCAGCAUGUGGGAUGUGGACGUGUGGGAGCCUGCAGCAGAGCUGUACUUCACAGUGCUUAUCGAUCAUCUAACACAGCUUGCUGAAGUACUGUUCUCUCAGCCUCUGGAGCUCUACAGCGACCCAGCAGCCUUAGCCACCACGGUUCAGCAUCUUCUCAAGAAGCACGUCCGACAGAUGAUGGACAUUUUGGAGAAGCUCUGAGCAAUGUCUUUUUUUAUCGCUUUAUUUUUUCUUCUGAUUUAUUUUAUGUUCGUUCUUUUCCCUCACUUCUUUUCCCUACAUUGCUCAAGCUCUCCAUAGGUAAGUAUGAAUUCAUUUUAUUUCUAUUUUUGAUUAAGAUUUUAAAAAUCACUUUCCUUUCCUAUAGGUGUGUUCAGUCAACCCCAGGACUGAAGACGGGCUUAACCCUAGGAUCCCUCAUCCCUUAAUAAUCAUCCCAUAUUAAUCUAUCCCUCUUUUCCUAUCCCACUCCCCUAUUCCUAUAGAUAAUAAAUGUAUUAAUAUAAUGUUUUGUAAAUAAACUUUACAUAUUUGUAAAUAUUAGUUAAAUAUUCUUUAAUAAAUGUUUACAUUUGUUCCUAUUACAGAGUAAAUCUAAUUAUUUUAUUCAUCACUAUACCUAUAUCAUUUUCCUUUCAAAAGCACAACACACCAUUUUAAAAGAAAUUUCAGAACCUUUAAAUGGUUUGAUAAAAUGUGUGAAAUUCAGAUAUUUAUAUCCUUGGAAUAUUUGUGUGACGGCCCCAAGUUGUGUAACAAUCUUUAACAUUUGGGGAAUUGCAUAAUUGUACAUUAUUUCUCAAUUACAGAUAUUGAAGAUAUGUAUAAAAUACACAACUUUGUAUUUCUUAUGCAUAUAUUAGCCUAUAGUUGACACGGGGUAUUAACAAUAAGCUGUUUUUUUAUCAAGUUGGUUGUUAUACAAAGCCAGAACUCAAGUUUAACAGCAGUUCUAACAAGAAGCUUUUACAAUACAGUAUACAGUGACUAGGGUGUUGUAUAAAUGAAAAAAAUUAGAUAAUCGUAGUAAAGUAAAUAGGAUCGUUGAGACAGUCCCUCAAAUGCUGCUCACAGAAACUCACCAAGAACCUUCAGCCGUCCUUCUGGUAACCAAAGCUUUUGUUUAUUUACUAAACCUGACCACUGGAUUUUACAAGGUUCUUUUUACUGAACAGAAUAUCAGUAUGAACCUGCUAUGAUCAGAAGCACUUAUGAUCUUCCUGCUCUAAUUUUCACAGAUGCUGGUGAGCUGAUCAGCGCUUGCCGAAACAUUCAGUUCCUCUCUGCAGACACCUCCAUCUCCCAGUCUGAGUCAGUGAACAUCAGGACAUACCUCUUGUGGAUGAUAAGGGGCCCAGAGUGUCGUCUUUGCUGGUUUACAACCACAAAGACACAAUCCAUCAAUCACAUGGGAUUCCCUUAUCAUACCACCACAGAGGACUGUUUCACUGGCAUACAGAUUUAGUUCAUAGUGGAGCUGCCCCCGCUGUCACCCCAACUGCCUGAUACCCCAGCUGCGUGACACCCCAAAUUCCUGACACCCCAACUGCCUGACACCCCAACUUCCUGACACCCCAUCUUCCUUUAGAUACACCUCUACUGUGUAAUUUGAGUAAUACUUUAUUAUCUGUGUAAUAAGGAGGAGUCUUCAUUGUACAUUGCAGUACAAACCCUGAAUAAAUACAUCCAGGGAAGAAGAAAUAUAAAUAUUUGUAAUAUUUAGGGGAUGUAAGAAGAAUGUAAGAAU